rnacentral:rRNA from 1 species
GGUUUCUUGGGGAAGUAGGAAAUUUAACCUGCCCACUGAAUGUAAUUUAAAGGGCCGCAGUAUAUUGACUGUGCAAAGGUAGCAUAAUCAUUAGUCUUUUAAUUGAGGGCUAGUAUGAAGGGUUGGAUGAAGUAAAAACUAUUUUAUAAUAAUUUAGUUUAACUUAGAUUUUAAGUAAAAAUACUUAAAUUAAAUUAAGGGACGAGAAGACCCUAUAGAGUUUAAUAUAUAUUUGAAUUUAAUAAAGUUAAAAUAAUGAAUUUAUUGUUUAUGUAGAAUAUAUUUAAUUGGGGUGAUUAAAAGAUAAAAUGAACUCUUUUUUGAGUUUAAUAUUAUACUAAGUUUUAAGAUCCAAAGUUGAUGAUUUAAAGAUUAAAUUACCUUAGGGAUAACAGCAUAAUUUUUUUUGAAAGUUCAUAUUGAAAAAAAAGAUUAUGACCUCGAUGUUGGAUUAAGAUUAGUUUUAAAUGUAGAUGUUUAAUAAUUGGGUCUGUUCGACCUUGAAAUUCUUACA